CAGUCGCCGCGGUAAAACAGAGGGUGCAAGCGUUAAUCGGAAUUACUGGGCGUAAAGCGCGCGUAGGCGGUUACUCAAGUCAGAGGUGAAAGCCCGGGGCUCAACCCCGGAACUGCCUUUGAAACUAGGUAACUAGAAUCUUGGAGAGGUCAGUGGAAUUCCGAGUGUAGAGGUGAAAUUCGUAGAUAUUCGGAAGAACACCAGUGGCGAAGGCGACUGACUGGACAAGUAUUGACGCUGAGGUGCGAAAGCGUGGGGAGCAAACAGGAUUAGAUACCCGCGUAGUCCCUGUCUCUUAUAC
rnacentral:rRNA from 1 species